GUGGGGAAUAUUGCACAAUGGACGAAAGUCUGAUGCAGCAACGCCGCGUGGAGGAUGACACAUUUCGGUGCGUAAACUCCUUUUAUAUAAGAAGAUAAUGACGGUAUUAUAUGAAUAAGCACCGGCUAACUCCGUGCCAGCAGCCGCGGUAAUACGGAGGGUGCAAGCGUUACUCGGAAUCACUGGGCGUAAAGAGCGUGUAGGCGGAUUGAUAAGUUUGAAGUGAAAUCCUAUAGCUUAACUAUAGAACUGCUUUGAAAACUGUUAAUCUAGAAUGUGGGAGAGGUAGAUGGAAUUUCUGGUGUAGGGGUAAAAUCCGUAGAGAUCAGAAGGAAUACCGAUUGCGAAGGCGAUCUACUGGAACAAUAUUGACGCUGAGACGCGAAAGCGUGGGGAGCAAACAGGAUUAGAAACCCUUGUAGUCC
rnacentral:rRNA from 1 species